rnacentral:rRNA from 1 species
AUUGAACGCUGGCGGCGUGCCUAACACAUGCAAGUCGAACGAGGGGCGGACGGGUGAGUAACACGUGGGAAUCUACCCAUCAGAGGGGGAUAAAACUUGGAUACAGGUGCUAAUACCGCAUACUGAAGGAUGGACCCGCGGUGGAUUAGCUAGGUGGUGGGGUAACGGCUCACCAAGGCCAAGAUGCAUAGCCGGACUGAGAGGAUGACCAGCCACACUGGAACUGAGACACGGUCCAGACUCCUACGGGAGGCAGCAGUGGGGAAUAUUGCAAAAUGGGCGCAAGCCUGAUGCAGCCAUGCCGCGUGUAUGAAGAAGGCCUUCGGGUUGUAAAGUACUUUCAGCGGGGAGGCGUUACCCGCAGAAGAAGCACCGGCUAACUCCGUGCCAGCAGCCGCGGUAAUAC